rnacentral:lncRNA from 1 species
GAAAAUAUGGCAGGUAAUUAAAGUUCGUGUUUUGAAGCCGAAGUUUAACGAUUGUCACCUGUUUGUCAACAAUCGACAAAAAAUCAACAAAAAUGCAUGGAAAUUGAGCACGUGUUUAACAUGUAAAUUCAGAUAAUAGUUUAUUUUAAGGACAUCCAUGCGUAUUGUGAUCACCGGAUUUUUACGAGAUGGGUCACACUGAGGUCA